UCUUAUGGACGAGCAAAGAAAAUAGUUUCUGGAACAGAAUCUACUCCUGGUGAAGAUGCUGUGAA
rnacentral:pre_miRNA from 1 species